GCCUAGAUAGCUCAGUUGGUUAGAGCAUGCUGCUGAUAACGGCCAGGUUGCAGGUUCAAUCCCUGCAUGGGACA